rnacentral:rRNA from 1 species
UUGGAGGGCAAGUCUGGUGCCAGCAGCCGCGGUAAUUCCAGCUCCAAUAGCGCAUAUUAAAGUUGUUGCAGUUAAAAAGCUCGUAGUUGAAUUUCGGGAUCAAUAUAUCGGUCGUGCCAUCGGUACGUACUGGUAUGAUUGGUUUCUCCUUUCUGACGAACCAUGAUGUCAUUAAUUUGGUGUUAUGGGAAGUUAGGACUGUUACUUUGAAAAAAUUAGAGUGUUUAAAGCAGGCUUUAGCUUGAAUACAUUAGCAUGGAAUAAUGAAAUAGGACGUUCGAACCUAUUUUGUUGGUUUCUAGGAUCAACGUAAUGAUUAAUAGGGAUAGUUGGGGGCAUUAGUAUUCAAUUGUCAGAGGUGAAAUUCUUGGAUUUAUUGAAGACUAACUACUGCGAAAGCAUUUGCCAAGGAUGUUUUCAUUAAUCAAGAACGAAAGUUAGGGGAUCGAAGACGAUCAGAUACCGUCGUAGUCUUAACCAUAAACUAUGCCGACUAGGGAUCGGAUGAUGUUAAUUUUUUAAUGACUCAUUCGGCGCCUUACGGGAAAC